GAAGUGAGUGGGUUGCUGAUGAUUGUCACUCCUGUAGAUGUGUGAAUGGCCAGUCUGAAUGCUACAAGGCCUGCAACAAGAACAGUUGUGCUGAGGGAUACAGACUUGUUCAGGAAGAAGGAGAAUGCUGUGAAUGUAGAGCAAUCACAGCGACCACAGCUAAACCAUCUCCAUACCCAGAAUACACCACGACCCCCAGUGCUGCUGAGACUACCGGAUCACCUGGGUCAACGACCCCCAGCUCUGGAGUUAC